GGUCAAGUAAAAAAAUACAUGGCUGCACUGGACGGUCGCUGCAAAUACUAGGAUGAUUUUAGCAGAGGUUCUGAAAUGGCGAAGCUGACACACUUUGACAGGCAUCAUAUCAUAGUUUUACACCAACAGGAGGAUAAUCUAAACAUCAUUUUCUUUGCCUGCCUAAGACUUUUGCACAGUUCUGUACAUUUCAGAGUAAAAAGGAUUAUAAAGGUUAAAAAGCAGAGAUUUUACCCUUUUGCCAGGAGAACCAGCAACACGUCACAGUGACACUGAGGAGUUUCUAUAAACCCGAAACCCUGGAUAGAGGGACUCAGUGAAUGAGGAGGUGAGUCUG